GACGAACGCUGGCGGCGUGCUUAACACAUGCAAGUCGAACGAAGUGGCGAACGGGUGAGUAACGCGUAAUCAACCUGCCCUUCAGAGGGGGACAACAGUUGGAAACGACUGAUAAUACCGCAUACUGAAGGAGGGGAGUGCGUCGGAUUAGCUAGUUGGAGGGGUAACGGCCCACAAAGGCGAUGAUCAGGAGCCUGUCUGAGAGGAUGAGCGGCCACAUUGGGACUUAGACACGGCCCAGACUCCUACGGGAGGCAGCAGUGGGGAAUCUUCCGCAAUGGACGAAAGUCUGACGGAGCAACGCCGCGUGAUGGAUGACGGCCUUCGGGUUUUAACGCUCUGUUAAUCUGGACGCGGUACCUGAAUAGAAAGCCACGGCUAACUACGUGCCAGCAGCCGCGGUAAUUC
rnacentral:rRNA from 1 species